rnacentral:rRNA from 1 species
UACGGGGGGGGCGAGCGUUGUUCGGAAUUACUGGGCGUAAAGGGUUUGUAGGUGGUCUGCUAAGUCAGACGUGAAAUCCCUCAGCUUAACUGGGGACUGCGUCGUGAUACUGGCGGACUUGGAGGACAGGAGAGGAACGCGGAAUUCCAGGUGUAGCGGUGAAAUGCGCAGAUAUCAGGAAGAACACCCGUGGCGAAGGCGGGUCUCUGGGCAACAACUGACGCUGGAGGAGCGAAAGCGUGGGGAGCGAACAGG